GACAGAGGAUGCAAGCGUUAUCCGGAAUGGUUGGGCGUAAAGCGUCUGUAGGUGGCUUUUAAGUCCGGCCGUCAAAUCCCAGGGCUCAACCCUGGACAGGCGGUGGAAACUACCAAGCUGGAGUACGGUAGGGCAGAGGAAUUCCGGUGGAGCGGUGAAAGUGCGGUAGAGAUCGGAAAGAACACCAACGGCGAAAGCACUCUGCUGGCCGACACUGACACUGAGAGACGAAAGCUAGGGGAGCGAAUGGG
rnacentral:rRNA from 1 species